ACAUUUUAAAACUUAAAUGGACUUGAUUUUAACUCUACGCUGUGAUCAUAGUUCAGGAAAAUGUGCGGAAAAGAUGAAAAGAAGAAGGAGUUGUACGUAGGGGGAACUGUAAAAGAAGAGGAUGGAUUGAAGAGGUCUGAAGAGGAGACUAAACCAAGUUCUGAUAUUCAAGUAAAUGCUGAUUCCGUUCAACAAGCUAAGAUGGAAGACGACAAAGAGGUGAAGAGUUCAAAACUUGGAAGACAAGUUAGCAGAGAUGAAUUUAUGAUGGUUAUGCUUUAAAAAACAACAACAACAACAAUAUCAACAA